UUGGGGGGGGGGGGAAUUAUCAUAAAAAAGUUAUCUUGCAUUUUUUAUUUAAAUAGUAUUACACCUAUUUUUAUAAGAGCUCAAAUCAGGUAAGGCCUCAACAGGUGAGAGGCCUUGAGUAGAUUGAUCAUUUAGAGGAACCUCACGCCUUUUUUUUUUUUUCACUUACGAAAUCAAACUAUUGCUAGAUUCCAGGGGACAUUUCUCAGAAGGAAAGCGACAGAAAUGAGUCAACUUUCGGCCAAUGAAAGACAGUUUCUUGUGCAUCUUGUAGCUGAAGAAACUGGCCGACCAGCUUGGCGGGACCAGACUAUUUAGUCGUACCAAUUUGGUCUAAUUAAAGCAGUGGUUGCACCCUAACUACAGAGACUGAGGGUUGUUGUCCUGCCACCCAUUCGGUCUUUUUAACUUUCAGACUUUGGAAAUACGGAAAUAUGACAUCCACUUCUGAAGUUUUGAGCUGAAUGGACACUUAUUUUAUGCGUGUUAAUCAAUAUGAACUCAUGACUACAGUUUUCUAACAAAUCGUGAAGGUUACAAAGAUGAGGAGAUUACAAAGUAAAAAAGAGCAAAAUCAGUAGGAUGUUUGUCAAAAAACACAACUGCCUAAAAACCAGGGAAGUGGUCAAGAAGCUAGCGCAGCAGAUUCAAAAAAAGAAGAUUUUGGAAAAACCAAAAGCCCAACAUUUAAAGUCUGGAACCAAAAUUUGCAGGACCGACUCUCGUGGUUGCCCAAAGACCAUCCAAAAAGAGGAGAAACUAUCAGGUGCGAACACUGGACGUAAAGAUGCGUCCGGAUUACUGGAUGCACUGCGCACGCUCUGUUUACAUUCUGCGUACGCUCUGCUUGCACUCUGCGUAUUUGUAGAUACAAUGAAAAUAAGCAGCAAAUCUUCACAACUAAAUAUUUGCUGCUUAUUUAUUGCAUAUCUACAAAUACACAUUAUAUACACAGUAAAUACGCAUAGCGUAGGCAGAGCUUAAGCAAAUGAUACACAGUAUUCCGAACGCAUCACUACAUCUGGUGUCCACGCCUAAUAAUUUCCCCAAAAAGAGGGGGCUAUAAGGAGGGAUGUUAUCAUCAUUUAAGGUCCAAAAAUCUCUAUGCUUGAAAAUAUUUUAGACUUAGAUAUAUGAUCAUUCUUAUCAGUUUUCUUUAUAACCGUGCUUGAAAAUAUUGUCCUUGUUUUCUUAAUUUUUAGCCACGGUUUUUAAUAUUAUGAAUAAUGCUUCUGUGAUCAUUUUUUA